rnacentral:lncRNA from 10 species
UGCAGCUCAGUGGUGCAAUCUCAGCUCAUUGCAACUUCCACCUCCCAGGAUGAAGCAAUCCUCCCACCUCAGCCUCUCCAGUAGCUGAGACUUCAAGCUCCCUCCAGCAGCCGAGCUGAUUUUUGUAUUUUUUUAUAGAGAUGGGGUUUCACCAUGUUGCCCAGGCUGGUGUCAAAUCCCUGGGCUCAAGUAAUCUGCCCACCUCGACCUCCCAAAGUGCUGGGAUUGCCUGCGUGAGCCCCAUCCCCGGCCUGCUCAUUUCCUUCUAGUGCUGAAGAAUAUUCCGAUGUCUGGAUAGACCACAGUUUGUCUGUCCACUCACCUCUAGGCAGACAUCUUGGUUGCUUCCAGUUUUUAGUGACGGUGAAUAAAACUGCUCUAAACAUUCGUGUGCAGGUGUUGGUGUGAACAUAAGUUUUCAACUCAUUUAUCGAGGUGGCUGCACCGUUUUGCAGUUCCGCCAGCAACGCAUGAGACUUCCUGUUGCCGCACGCCCACCCCGGCAUUUGGCGUUGUCAGUGUUUUGGAUUUUGGCCAUUCUUACA